rnacentral:rRNA from 1 species
UACGGAGGGAGCGAGCGUUGUCCGGAAUUACUGGGCGUAAAGGGGGUCUAGGUGGAUUCUUAAGUCAAAUGUGAAAUCUCUCGGCUUAACUGAGAAACUGCAUCUGAAACUGGGGAUCUUGAGCACGGUAGAGGAGAGUGGAACUCUCAGUGUAGCGGUGGAAUGCGUAGAUAUUGAGAGGAACACCAUUGGCGAAGGCAGCUCUCUGGACCGUUGCUGACACUAAAGCCCGAAAGCUGGGGUAGCAAACAGGAUUAGAUACCCCGGUA